UGGACAUCAGAAAAUUCUUCCUGAACAGAGGCAGAAGGAGAGGAACAGUGAGGAGAGAUGAGGAGGACGAGGGAGGUAUGAUAAUUGCCCACAUUAACGGUAACAUUUAUGUUAAAGUGCCAGUGCUGUGAUUUGAUCAAUGGUUUAAUGGCAAACUUAAAUAAGUUUGCUGCAUUUGCAAAUGUAGCAUAAUAAUCUACACAGACUCUGAGUCUGUUUCUGUGCAG